CAACAGCUUCUGCGGGCAGGUAGAGAGAGGAGGAGGUGGUGCAGGACAUACAGGUGGUGACAAACAGAAUGACCUCAGCUGCCUGGAAGAUUGUGAGUUGACGGGAGCUGUCACAAGAAGCUGACUCUUGCAGGGGCCGAGCGCUGAGCCAAGGGGCCGGUGCGCACACUGAGUCACUAAGUCCAAAGGGGUCAGGGCAGAUGGUACAGAAAGAGUCAGGGUGUCUCGUGGGGAUCAGGGACACCCACGGAGGGAAGCACUGCAGCCGACAGGCAGGAAAGCAGCGGCCCGAGGCCUGAGUUUAUGUCGAGCCACAGGCGUGUCCCUUGCGUCCGCACCCUCUGCGCCUCGUGGAGCAAGGACCCCAGGGCCGACCCAUGGAGGGACCUAUAGGACACGUCCCCUAAAGCUGGCGUGGACUGGGGGCAGAAGAGGUGACCGUAGGCAGAUCAAUGUUACAGAAGUGAUGCGUGCUCGGUGCCCGAGAACGGGGAACCCCCAUAAGCGGACACGCUGGCACCGCGCUCUGCCCGUAAGUCCUCGGCAGCAAAGGAGAGGAAGAAAUGGCGCUGGGGACGCGGUGUGUCACCUUGUCAGGAUAAGCAGCCCUGGGCUUGAGCCGUGGAAAGAGGCCUGCAUUUCUCUGUUACAAGGAAGAAUUAUUGAAAGAGAUUCUGCUAUCACCUGUCAUUUUGUGUAUCCUCAAGGUUUGUGCCAGAAAGCAGAUAUAUCUGCUCCUGUGCCCAAUCGUUGUUAAAAUAAAUAAAUAAACAAACUUCGGUGCA